GUGCUCACUUUGGCAGCACAUAUACUAAAAUUGGAACAAUCCAGAGAUUACCAUGGCCCUUGUGCAAGGAUGACAUGCAAAUUUAUCAAGUGUUCCACAUUUUU
rnacentral:snRNA from 1 species